AUCCGGAAUUAUUGGGCGUAAAGCGCGCGUAGGCGGUUUUUUAAGUCUGAUGUGAAAGCCCACGGCUCAACCGUGGAGGGUCAUUGGAAACUGGAAAACUUGAGUGCAGAAGAGGAAAGUGGAAUUCCAUGUGUAGCGGUGAAAUGCGCAGAGAUAUGGAGGAACACCAGUGGCGAAGGCGACUUUCUGGUCUGUAACUGACGCUGAUGUGCGAAAGCGUGGGGAUCAAACAGGAUUAGAUACCCUGGUAGUCAACGGCG
rnacentral:rRNA from 1 species